rnacentral:rRNA from 1 species
CAGUCGCCGCGGGAAUACGAAGGGGGCUAGCGUUGUUCGGAAUCACUGGGCGUAAAGGGUGCGUAGGCGGGCAUUUAAGUCGGGGGUGAAAUCCCGAGGCUCAACCUCGGAACUGCCCUUGAUACUGGGUGUCUUGAGUCCGGAAGAGGUGAGUGGAACUGCGAGUGUAGAGGUGAAAUUCGUAGAUAUUCGCAAGAACACCGGUGGCGAAGGCGGCUCACUGGUCCGGAACUGACGCUGAGGCACGACAGCGUGGGGAGCAAACAGGAUUAGAUACCCGUGUAGUCCCUGUCUCUUAUAC